UGCCCCAAGGACCAAUGAUCCAUGAUCCUGGAUCCGCUGAAAAUCUUUUAUAUGUGGGCCUGGACGAAAUAAUUGGGCCUAGAAUACUCGAAGCCCCAUACAUUUAAGGACUUCCCUGGGUCACGUGCUUGAUGCGUGCGACAGCUAGUAGCUUCCAGAAACGUCGGGAUUGCCGUUCCGGAGAGAAGCUGCCUGUAAAUUUUCACCGAAUCUUUUCUCCGAGUGCCUGCAGAUUGUGCGAUAGCUAAUCGACGAUUCGUCUGAUCCGAAGAUUCAGAUUGAAGAUAGAAGAAGUAGAUAAAGUGAUGUACAGAGAAGUGAAAUCCAAAGUUUGCAGAAACUCUUCAAAAGUCACCCAUGAAAAAAGAAAAGUGCAAAUUACCUAGAAAUGCAUAAUAUAGUACUUUAUGGGUGUGUUUACUAUGCUUGAUAGGAUGCGAUUUUAUGAUAUUUUUUUAUUAAUCUACAUACAAAUUUUAUAUAAUCUCAUCCUACUCCUUAUAGUAAAAAACUCUGAAUCGUAGGUGAUUUCACUGAUGGUUCUAAAUCUUGUAACCAGUCUACACACAUGAACGAAAAUAUCCACGUAAGAGGUAUCUUGGCAUGUUGGAAAUGUUGGUAUGCUCUACUGAGCUUCAAAACUGACCCUUUGAAGUGUCAGUAAUUUUCCUAGCCUUUUCGUCGCUGAUGUGUUGGUUAAUGUUUUUGUCGUGAUGGCUUCGUUAGAUGUUCUUCUGCAUUGGUAUCCUGUUUUUCUUUAGAUGUUUCAUCAAAAGGUUUAUCCAUCUAGCUAUGUUUAUUCUCUCAUAGAAAAAAAAGUCUCAGUAUAUGCCCGAGUCCUGUGAAAGACUCAGCUGAAUAUACAUAUAUAUAUAUAUAUCUUUACACAGAUUGGCUAUUAGGAGUACACAUCAGAUGAUAAGUUCUCCGAGUGUGAAAAUUUUAUCCACUGUGAUGUUUGAUACACAAGUAUAUUCCAUGGAACAAGAAACUGUUGUGGCAUCAGGGAAUGUCAGCCUACGAGAAUGUAGUUGCUGGGAAGCUGAGGUUGAAGGGAAAACCUUUGAAGGUUCAACAUGGUAAUGUCCAGAAGAAGAAAAAGAAGGGACUUAAUCUCCUGUCAUCUGCUGCAGAUGCAAACAAUGCAGUAGCAGAAGCUCUUGCUAAUUUGGACGCGAACGGAACUGAGGUGCAGAAAGAUGAGGAAGACACACGCCUCACCCCAGCAGAGAGACGCUAUCUGGAGCAGUGCCAGAAAAUCGAGCUCCAAAGAAUUGCCAAAGCUGCUAAGAAAUCUCACCGCGAUCGUGUUCAAGAGUUCAACCUAUACUUGGCUAAUUUGAGCGAGCACUACGAUAUCCCUAAAGUCGGGCCUGGUUGACGACCAUUGUUCACUUCAGUUUGGUAUUUGUUGCCUCCUCACUAAUUAAAUACCAUUCUUGUACAAAAAUGGAUGCACUAAUUGUGUGUAUGUUAACUUGAACUUCCAUGAUUACUUAUAAUCCAUCUAUUGUUUCGACUUGAAUUGACACAAUUAUCUUCCAAUUUAUUGGUUGCUGAUCUAAGAGUAACAGUUAGAGUCGGGCACUGCCGAAUUUGUUUGCUUGUUUAGCAUGUGAUAUUCCCUACACUCAUUAAACUGUUUCGCCAUCGCAAUUAGCAUAGUACUGCUUCUAAAACCAUCUUUAUCUUGCAUAUGAAUACAUAGAUGCAGAAAUCUUCUAGUAAACAUACAAAUAUACCACUUGUAAUGGUGUUACAUCUCAUCUCCUUUCUCACACAGUGUAGUGCUGUUGAAUUGUGUCGAUGUCCAAUCCCUUCAGCUUCACAACUGAUUCGACGUGGCCCUUCAGUGUAUUCAGCUCCCUCAGUCUGCAUCACAGUUCAAUGAGGUGCACAUUUACAUUUAUGCAUAUGUAUAUAUUGAGUGAACUUAAUAGGCUCAAUGGAGUCGACAUACCUUGCAACCUCAGCACGCCGUUUAGCUUGCUCGGCAAUCUCAGACAGCUCCCUGUAACUGCUCUUUUCUGGGAAGAGGCUAGCAGUUUCGGGUGGCUGCAGCCCAUGCAAUGUCCUCUGCGCGGCUGCCCACUGUGCUUCCCUCUCCUCUUUCCCGUAGUUGGAUUUUGUCGUGAAAGCAGUCUUCAUACAAAAAAAUGACGUUUUACCCAUCUUUAGGACAUAGCGAAUGCCGAACUUGAGGAUGUCGAGAGGGAUGUAGGUUACAAUGCUGUAAAGCCAGAUGAUGCCAGCCCAUCCCCAACCGCAACCUUGUAUCUUUGCGAAAGCCCAGUUGGCGUAAACAGCAAUGAGGGUUGCAACCUAUCACCAAAGGAACGAAUAAGGUAGCUUUAUCGUAUCAUUGAUCAAUUUAGGGGCACCAUAUGCGUCGAGAAGUUCUCUUUCUAUGAGCACUUACCAGCUGAGCUAUGAUGAAGGCACAGAGCAACAGCAGUCCCGGGCGUUCGGAGUAGGACCAACCCCGGGAGCGCGUCACAAAAAUGAGAGCUUGGCUAAUUAUGCUAACUUGAAGGUACAAUGCUGCCAUGAUCUCCCCUGAACUGUUCCUUAACGAGCGUACGCCAAAUUUGUCCUGCAGAUGGUGUUAUGAGUUCAAAAGAGAUCCCUGCUGGUUUUGAGGGAUGAAGAGAUAAAUCCGGGUUGAUUCGUGGAAAAUUUGUAAGACAGGCGGCCUACCGGGAAGAAAUCAGUCUCUUUCACUGUCCAAAAGAAGAACACUGUCCCUAUAGCCAAGUAUGCUCCUAAGACUAUUCCAGUGGCAAAGAUCUCCCUUAGUUUCCAGCUGUCUGGCAUUGGCGACGGCAGUACUCUAUCUUUCGAAAUUGUCAUGAUGGUCCCUGCAGGCAUCCCGGAAAGUCGAGCAAGGGUAUGAUACUGGUCAGAGUAUGAUUCUACAAAUGAGGAUUGCUGAUGAAAACUGAUCUUACCGUCGUUUAGUAUAGCGAUGAUCAGAAUCAAGAAUGGUGCGAAGUCGAAUCUCCAUAUCAAUGCGAUAAGCAUGAAGCCGAGCUGUGUUCGAUGCAUAGGAAGGAAUUAUUCAUUGAUCGAGUGAGCAGAUCGAAGUGAGCAAUGGAUUCUACAGAAAUCUUACCACGAUACGGAUUGUGAUGGAGACGGCGUAUAUCUGCAAAGACAAUGGAAAAUUCUAGAUGAUCUUCGAGGCUUUCAGAUUUAAGUUGAUAAAAAAGUAUGGUUCAGUUCACUCACCGUGUAGUUUUUCAUUCUCUGGAAGAUAGCCCGGCUGGUAAGAACUGCGCUGAUUAUGACGCUGAGGCCUGGUUCGGUUAAGACAAUGUCGGACGCGCUUCUGGCAGCGUCGGUUGCAUCUGCAACGGCUAUCCCAAUGUCGGCCUUCUUUAGAGCCGGAGCAUCAUUGACGCCGUCGCCAGUCAUACCACAUAUGUGCUUCCUUUCUUGCAGCCUCUUCACGAUUUCGUACUUGUGCUCUAAAGUCACAGCAAAGAUGCGAUUAGGCGCGACACUCAUAUGCAAGUUUCGGUCGUAUAGAAUUCUUGCUGACCAGGAAAUACUCCAGCGAAGCCAUCAGCCUUCUCGAUCAGCUCGUCUACAGGAAGUCCGGCUAUAGACUCGUCUUUGUCUUGGCCGAGCAACGAAGAAGACGGGUACAUGUUUGUGCCCAUUCCAAGCCUCCUCCCUGUUUCCUUGGCAAUGGCGAGCUGGUCGCCUGAGCGAGGAAAAGAAGUCGGAUCAAGUCAUGCUUCGUCGCUACCGGAGGAAUUUUAAGGUUAGAUUUCAUUACCGGUGAUCAUCUUUACAUUGACUCCUAAGUACAGUGCUCUCUUGAUAGUUUCAGCGCUGUCGUGCCUCGGUGGAUCAAACAACGGCAAUAAACCGACGAGUUGCCACGGCCCACCCGGGCUCUCUUUCGUUCGCUCGGGAACGUCCUGUGACAAGAAGACAUGAGGAUUAGUUUAUGAAGAAAAUUAGGGAGAAGCAUAAAAUCGAGAAGGCGCGAAGACCUGUCGGGCUACAGCUAACGAGCGAAGUCCCCGUUCUGCAAACUUAUCGAUGAACGAAUGGACCUUCUUCCGGACAUCUUCCUUGCUAUUACACAGCACGAGUAUCUGUUGCAAGAAACAAGGUAUAAGUUGUCGUCGAUGAGCGUAGUUUCGAGAAUUUUGAAACGGAGGAGACCUGCUCGGGGGCGCCUUUGCUGGCACGAUGCCAGUUUCCGUUUCCGUCGACGUAGGUUAAGGCUGUCCUCUUGUCGACGGGAUUGAAAGGCAGAAAAUGAACCUCCCGUAUUCCGGCUCUCGCCUGUCAACCGAUCAAAGAAAAUUCUCUGAGUUGACGGUCGAAACCAAAUAGCGGAAUGCAUCGAGUCGUACCUCUCGGGGAUCGGCAAGCAUGCCGACAAUGGCUGCGUCGAUGGCGUCCUGAUUCUCCGUCCGCGACGCCCUCGCCGCGAUGAGGAUCACCUCCUCCUUAUCCAUCCCCUUGACGAAAACCUCGACGAGGCUACGGUCGACGGUCAGUUUAUUCAACGUCAGCGUUCCUGUCUUGUCGCUGCAGAGGACAUCCAUCCCCGCCAUCUCCUCUAUCGCCGUCAUCCGCUUCGUGAUCGCGCCCUGCUGCGAGAGUCGGUGGGAACCGAUGGCCAUCGUGACGGACAAAACCGUUGGCAUGGCGAUGGGAAUCCCUCCGAUGAGGAGAACGAGCAGGUUGUCGAUCCCGUCUCGGUACUUCCUGUGCUGAAUCGGGUACAUGACGAUUAUCUCGAUGAUUAUCCCGCCGAGUAUCGAGCAGAUGCAGAAGUUCCCGAUCGCUGUGAGAACCUUCUGGAAAUGCCCGACCUGGUUCGUGCUAUCGACCAAAUGGGCAGCCUUGCCGAAGAACGUGUGCACGCCGGUUGCUAUCACGACGGCUUCGAUCUCCCCCUGCUUGCACGUCGAGCCGGAGAAAACCUCGUCGGAGGGGUUCUUCGUGACGGGUAGUGACUCCCCCGUCAACGCGGAUUGAUCGACCUUCAACGGAUCACCGUCGAGAAGACGGGCGUCGGCGGGGAUGAUAUCCCCGAGCUUUAUGCUAAUGAUGUCCCCCGGGACGAGGAUCGAUGCGUCUUGCUCGGUCCAUCGCCCGUCUCUCAAAACCUACAAUCGCGCGAUGAACGAACAAAAUUUUAGUCGAAAAAAGGUUGACGGACAUGUUCGUUCUAUCGACGUAGCGAAUCUGUUGCAAACCUUCGUCUUGGGAGCAAGCCCGGCCAUAAGAGCCGCAGCCGCAUUUCCGGCGUUGUUUUCCUCGACGAAGCUGAUCGUCGAGUUGAUAACCAAUAGACACACGAUCCCGACGAAGUCUUGCCAGUCAGGGGGCCUCCCGCCCCCAUUGGCGAGGACUAUGGCCAUCAAGGCCGCGGCCUCCAUGACCCACGACAACGGGUUCCACAUGAACCCUAAGAACUUGAGAAUCUUGCUUUCCUGUUGCAUCUCGACGUAUUAUUGCAAUGAAUUUGUUUCGAUUAUGAAAUGAAAUGAAACAGAGUGUUGAGAUAAGGUUCAAGAAAACCGUCGAUGAUUCUAACCUUUUUCUCUUCCAACUUGUUCGGGCCGAAUAUGUGGAGCCGGUUCUCGCCUUCCUCGGAGGUUAGGCCAGCUCUCGUGCAUUUUAGCUGCUCGAAAACUUCCUCUAUCGGGAUCCUUUCCUGUCGAAUCGAAAAUGUAAAUAUGCGUCAUAGCUGUUAUAAAAACUUUCGGUCGAAUUUAAUAGUCUGCAAACUAAGUUCGACAGAAUAAGUUACAUUAGGCGAAUUAUGUGUGGCAGACAAGAACCAUGGAAACCUAUGAUCUCACUCUUCCAUUUUCAUCA